GACGAACGCUGGCGGCGUGCCUAACACAUGCAAGUCGAACGAUGAAGCCGAGCUUGCUAGGUGGAUUAGUGGCGAACGGGUGAGUAAUACGUGAGUAACCUACCUGUAACUCGGGGAUAAGUCCGGAAAACGGGGCCUAAUACCGGAUACGACCAAUCUCGGCAUGGGGUGUUGGUGGGACGCGUUACGUAGUGGUUAGAGAUGGGCUCACGGCCUAGCAGCUUGUUUGUGGGGUAACGGAGGACCAAGGCCACGACUGGUAGCCGGCCUGGGAGGGUGACCGGCCACACUAGGACUGAGCGACGGCGCAGCCUGCAACGGGAGGCAGCGGUGGGGAAUCUUAUACAGUGGGCGCGAGCCUGAUGCGGCGGCGCCGCGUGAGGGAUGCCGGCCUUCGGGUUGUAAACCUCUGUUAGCUGGGAAGAAGAGAUAUUGACGGUACCUGCAGAAAAAGCGCCGGCUAACUACGUG
rnacentral:rRNA from 1 species